ACGUCCUGGCAGCCCAGCUCAUCGUCCCCUCCUGAUGCGCCUCCCUGCCCCCAAAUCCCCUCCCGGCGAUCACAGCCACGUCCCCGGCACCUCCAGCACCUGGCUAUGUCAUUUAGAACCCUAGCCCUCAACGCCCCUUCGCCUUCUUCCUUUUGCGACUCCUCGGCCCCUCGUCAGACCUACCGCGUUUCCAGAGAAGCCAAGCACGCCUACGUUACAAGUUGGAACAGGAUAUCACUCAGAAUUUGUAAAUGUGUAAAUAUUCUAAACACCCGAUUUUUUUCGUGUAACUGCUGGAAAAUGGAAAACUUUGUCUGGGUCCCACUUGUGCUAGACGGAACCCGGGCUCACCUCUGCACAGUCCUAAGGCUCAUCAUGGCUUUCAUUGGAUGCCCUACCAGCAGUCCUACAGCAGACCUCUGCUAGAGGCUCCCUCAGUCCCUUUUGCAGCACAGCCCCUCAACAUGGUCAGUUUCAGCUCUUCUGUGCUCUGCGCAAGGACGGUCUUCCAAAUAGGAAUGAAGAUAUGCCAAGGCCACGAAACUACCAAUGAACUUCGCCCAUGCCACUUGAAGACUGGCUUUGCCAAUGGCUCAAGAACACUGGAUACACAAUCCACUCCUAAUCUCUUCUGUGACCCAUUCUUAAUUGGGCAUAGUUUGCGUUUGUAUCUGUGACUUCUUUUUUAUGAAGCCAUGACUGACCAUCUCUACUUCCCAUUCUGUUCCCUAAACAAGUCAGUACAAUCAAUCAGGUUAAAGCCUAGUCUUACUGCCUGAGUAACA